CGAGCGUGAUGUGCCACGGCUC
rnacentral:miRNA from 1 species